rnacentral:rRNA from 1 species
GACGUAGGUGGCGAACGUUAUCCGGAAUUAUUGGGCGUAAAGGGUGCGUAGGCGGCAUGAUAAGUUAUUGGCGGGAAAUCGAGGCUCAACCUCGUGGAAACUAAUAAUACUGUUUUGCUUAAGUACAGGAGAAGUUAACGGAACUCCAUGUGGAGCGGUAAAAUGUGUAGAUAUAUGGAAGAACAUCAAUAACGGCGAAGGCAGUUAACUAUUCUGUUACUGACGUUGAGGCACGAAAGCGUGGGGAGCAAAACGG